UUUGAAACCCCUUAUUCAAACAACAUAAGCAGCAAACAUCACAGACUGGGCAAUCAAACAGAACGGAGCUGGAUCAGCAAUCUCCGAAGAGCAAUUCCAUUGCAGGCCAUUACGGUGGACAACGGAAGCGCCACAGUGUGUGCUGCGAAGGUGGACUGAUCAGAGGCGCCGCGACGAAUUCAGAGGAAAGCGGGAGUAGCACAGCCAGAUGCAGCAGCAACGGCGAGGAAGGCCACCUGGCAACGACGCCCGAGCGAAGGACGCCGCACAGGUGGGUUUAACAGCGACGAGGACGAAGAAGGCGAGCUUGGGACUACGCUAGAAUGCCGGGGGAGUCGCCCACGUUGGUGCAGCAGCAGCAAUGGCGAGGAGGGGCGAGCUGGCAAUGAACCUGGCGAGAUAGGGGACGCGUACCGGUGGGUGCAGCAGCGAAGUGCGGCGUUACAGUACAACAUUCAAGCAGAGCACUUAUGCACUGAAUCUGGACUCUGCUACUGUGAAGCGCACUUCACAGUGAACGUUAACUUCGAGAACUCUGAUUCAGUUCGAAGUUUCACACUCACUACUGUCGAAUGGCCGUCGAGAACCACCAAGGUCUUUGCGAUGAAUCAAAUUUCGGAUAGAUGUGGAGAAGAGGGAGGCUGGAUUGGAUGAUACUGGCACCCAGCUCGAGUACUGCAAAAUCCAGAGGCGAGUGACAGAUAUCAGGUGUCGCAGCCAGAUGCACGUGCUGCCUAGAGUGGUUCUAGUGUGGGUUAAGGGCCCACGGCUGUCUCCCUUCUACGCAGACGUGCUUGGUAAUUGGGGUGCUUGAGAACCCUAAGAGUGGAAUCAUCACACAAAUAGGGUUAGGAGAACGCGCGUAUUACAUGUCACGUCGGUCUGGUCACCAAAGCGUGUAAUUCAAACGCAACUGCGAGUCUGUUAUGGGAACAUCGAAGCCGUGAGUUGAUUCAACUAACGAUGCAAUUAUUUGGUCGCUGGGUUAUGAUUUCUUGAUCAUGAUUGAUGUUAACCAUGACAUAGUGCAAUUAUGGUGUUUGUGGUUGAAUUUGAAGUGGAAUCAUGGAUUGAUCAGUGCCAGCAUCGUCGUGGGUUAUCGGUCCAUCAACAACUCAUGCCUUGCUGGUACUCAUUUUUUUCCAUAUAAGUGGUCCGAUUCCUCAGAAGUUGAAUGGAAGUUUACACAGACUUUCACGUGAAUCCGUUGGCUCGGCAAUUGAAAUGGGCUGAUAACUAAGGUUGGACUUCAAGUUCAUGUCUUCAGGAGUUCAAAAAAAGAAAGUCGUGUAGCCUUCUGCACGUAACGACUCUAUUUACGUUGUUAGGUGCAAGCCUGCAGAACAUCUCUGUGUAGUGUGAUGGUCGCCAACCGAAAGAGUUAGUGAUCUUUCCUUGCUGAACGAGGUUUGUAAGAGGUUUUGAUAUUCUUGCAUACUUCCUGCAACUGCUUCCUGAAAGCAGCAUCACUAACGUCAGUAUUUUGUUACGGUGUGGUCUCUUUUUGAGUGCCGAGCAUCUCUCCGGUAUGUUAACUCGGCUUUUGUGAUAAUUCGAGUUUCUGAUAAUUGAGGAAGUCGUGGUUUUUCUCCAUCAUCAAGUGCUGCUUUUGAGAAUGAGUGACGUCACGGAGGAUUUAAUGUAAACGUACAAAAAUAUUUUCUGCAGCGCGAGGAAAUGCAUCCAACCUGUGCGUAAAAGUAAAGUUUUCACCACGAAGAGAUGAUAACUCAUUGUGAUGUUUGACAUUUUCCAGUUGAAAACUGAGUUUGAUACAGUAUUUAAACCUCAAGGACAGAUACCGGACUUCUUGGCUGGUCAAAACUAUAGCAGAGGCAUAAAAAACCCCUGAUUUAGAUACUGUACGUCCACAUACUGUACGAUCAUGGUACGAGGAGACACUAUACGAGCAGGUACACUGCCGCAUGAACAUGCACUUAUAGCGGACACAGAGAGCACCAUUAUUUAUGUUCCCAACUCCUCCUGCGUCCUUUGUGUUCAUCACCAAGCAUAUUUCGUUAUUUGUUGUUUGUCUUGGGAGCCUGGCGCCGCUGUUGUGCAAGGGAGUUGAAGAACUUUAUCCGAUCAGUCGGUAGAUAAGUUGAUCAAUGAGUACCUGAAUCGUUCAAAUGUAGACUCCAUUUAGCAUUAGUUUUAGAAUACAACGGUUGAAAAUUUUGAGACUCUCCUCAAUAUAGUGCUAUGGUCACAAUCGGUAUGACAACUUUGUUCAUAGGUGGGCCACGUAGGUAACACGAAUAGUGGACUGAGUUUGUUAUAAAUGGGACAAGACACUUGAAUCAAUCCCCAAAGUUCAAACUCUUUUCGAAAAGUAGGUUCCUGGUCUUCACGCUCCAUUGAGGGAGUAGAAACAGAUACCUUGACUUCAAAGGUGGCAUCUCAGUAGACCUGUCUCUUUCAAAGACCUCUUCGGAGCGUAAAGCUUCAGAGUCAAAGGUUGGAACUUAAACUCUCUGUGUUCUAACUGAUUUGGAUCCUGUAAUUGAGGAUGUAUCUCUUUUUUGUACCUCACACAAGAUUUGUGAUAUCUAA